rnacentral:rRNA from 1 species
AUUGAACGCUGGCGGCAGGCCUAACACAUGCAAGUCGAACGCGUGGCGCACGGGUGAGUAAUGUCUGGGAAACUGCCCGAUGGAGGGGGAUAACUACUGGGAACGGUAGCUAAUACCGCAUACCAUCGGAUGUGCCCAGAUGGGAUUAGCUAGUAGGGGGGGUAAAGGCUCACCUAGGCGACGAUCCCUAGCUGGUCUGAGAGGAUGAUCAGCCACACGGGAACUGAGACACGGUCCAGACUCCUACGGGAGGCAGCAGUGGGGAAUAUUGCACAAUGGGCGCAAGCCUGAUGCAGCCAUGCCGCGUGUAUGAAGAAGGCCUUCGGGUUGUAAAGUACUUUCAGCGAGGAGGCGUUACUCGCAGAAGAAGCACCGGCUAACUCCGUGCCAGCAGCCGCGGUAAUAC